GAUGAAGAACGCAGCGAAAUGCGAUAUGUAAUGUGAAUUGCAGAAUUCAGUGAAUCAUCGAGUCUUUGAACGCACAUUGCGCCCCCUGGUAUUCCGGGGGGCAUGCCUGUCCGAGCGUCAUUGCUGCCCUCAAGCACGGCUUGUGUGUUGGGCCUCCGUCCUCCUCCCGGGGGACGGGCCCGAAAGGCGGCGGCGGCACCGCGUCCGGUCCUCGAGCGUAUGGGGCUUCGUCACCCGCUCUUGUAGGCCCGGCCGGCGCUUGCCGACACAUCAAUCUUUUUUCCAGGUUGACCUCGGAUCAGGUAGGGAUACCCGCUGAACUUAAGCAUAUCAAUAAGCGGAGGA
rnacentral:misc_RNA from 1 species